rnacentral:rRNA from 1 species
UACGUAGGCAGCAAGCGUUGUUCGGAAUUACUGGGCGUAAAGAGUGUGUAGGCGGUGCUCCAAGUCUGGUGUGAAAUCUCCCGGCUUAACUGGGAGGGUGCAUUAGAAACUGGAAUGCUAGAGGAUGGGAGAGGUAAGCGGAAUUCCUGGUGUAGCGGUGAAAUGCGUAGAUAUCAGGAGGAACACCAAUAGCGAAGGCAGCUCGCUGGGACGUUACUGACACUGAGGCGCGAAAGCGUGGGGAGCGAACAGG